UACGUAGGGUGCGAGCGUUAAUCGGAAUUACUGGGCGUAAAGCGUGCGCAGGCGGUUCGCUGCGUCCUGUGUGAAAGCCCCGGGCUUAACCUGGGAAUGGCAUGGGAAACUGGCGAGCUUGAGUGCGGCAGAGGGGGGUGGAAUUCCGCGUGUAGCAGUGAAAUGCGUAGAGAUGCGGAGGAACACCGAUGGCGAAGGCAGCCCCCUGGGUCGACACUGACGCUCAGGCACGAAAGCGUGGGGAGCAAACAGG
rnacentral:rRNA from 1 species